GUGGGGAAUAUUGGACAAUGGGCGAAAGCCUGAUCCAGCGAUGCCGCGUGUGCGAUGAAGGCCUGCGGGUUGUAAAGCACUUUCAGUGGGGAAGAAAUACUCAAAGCUAAUACCUUUGAGGGUUGACGUUACCCAAAGAAGAAGCACCGGCUAACUCUGUGCCAGCAGCCGCGGUAAUACAGAGGGUGCAAGCGUUAAUCGGAGUUACUGGGCAUAAAGGGCGCGUAGGCGGAUAUUUAAGUCGGAUGUGAAAUCCCCGGGCUUAACCUGGGAAUUGCAUUCGAUACUGGAUGUCUAGAGUAUGGUAGAGGAAAGUGGAAUUCCCGGUGUAGUGGUAAAAUACGUAGAUAUCGGGAGGAACACCAGUGGCGAAGGCGGCUUUCUGGUCCAAUACUGACGCUGAGGCGCGAAAGCGUGGGGAUCAAACAGGAUUAGAAACCCUGGUAGUCC
rnacentral:rRNA from 1 species